rnacentral:rRNA from 1 species
GACGAACGCUGGCGGCGUGCSUAAUACAUGCAAGUCGAGCGGACAGAUGGGAGCUUGCUCCCUGAUGUUAGCGGCGGACGGGUGAGUAACACGUGGGUAACCUGCCUGUAAGACUGGGAUAACUCCGGGAAACCGGGGCUAAUACCGGAUGGUUGUUUGAACCGCAUGGUUCAAACAUAAAAGGUGGCUUCGGCUACCACUUACAGAUGGACCCGCGGCGCAUUAGCUAGUUGGUGAGGUAACGGCUCACCAAGGCRACGAUGCGUAGCCGACCUGAGAGGGUGAUCGGCCACACUGGGACUGAGACACGGCCCAGACUCCUACGGGAGGCAGCAGUAGGGAAUCUUCCGCAAUGGWCGAAAGUCUGACGGAGCAACGCCGCGUGAGUGAUGAAGGUUUUCGGAUCGUAAAGCUCUGUUGUUAGGGAAGAACAAGUACCGUUCGAAUAGGGCGGUACCUUGACGGUACCUAACCAGAAAGCCACGGCUAACUACGUGCCAGCAGCCGCGGUAAUACGUAGGUGGCAAGCGUUGUCCGGAAUUAUUGGGCGUAAAGGGCUCGCAGGCGGUUUCUUAAGUCUGAUGUGAAAGCCCCCGGCUCAACCGGGGAGGGUCAUUGGAAACUGGGGAACUUGAGUGCAGAAGAGGAGAGUGGAAUUCCACGUGUAGCGGUGAAAUGCGUAGAGAUGUGGAGGAACACCAGUGGCGAAGGCGACUCUCUGGUCUGUAACUGACGCUGAGGAGCGAAAGCGUGGGGAGCGAACAGGAUUAGAUACCCYGGUAGUCCACGCCGUAAACGAUGAGUGCUAAGUGUUAGGGGGUUUCCGCCCCU